GACGAACGCUGGCGGCGUGCCUAAUACAUGCAAGUAGAACGCUGAAGGAGGAGCUUACUUCUCUGGAUGGGUUGCGAACGGGUGAGUAACGCGUAGGUAACCUGCCUGGUAGCGGGGGAUAACUAUUGGAAUCGAUAGCUAAUACCGCAUAAGAGUAGAUGUUGCAUGACAUUUACUUAAAAGGUGCAAUUGCACCACUACCAGAUGGACCUGCGUUGUAUUAGCUAGUUGGUGGGGUAACGGCUUACCAAGGCGACGAUACAUAGCCGACCUGAGAGGGUGAGCGGCCACACUGGGACUGAGACACGGCCCAGACUCCUGCGGGAGGCAGCAGUAGGGAAUCGUCGGCAAUGGACGGAAGUCUGACCGAGUAACGCCGCGUGAGUGAAGAAGGUUUUCGGAUCGUAAAGCUCUGUUGUAAGAGAAGAACGAGUGUGAGAGUGGAAAGUUCACACUGUGACGGUAUCUUACCAGAAAGGGACGGCUAACUACGUGCCAGCAGCCGCCGCAG
rnacentral:rRNA from 1 species